UGAAGCUGGCCUAGUUGCUCCAUUAAAGUUUAAACUUUGACGAUGGAUACCGGACAAGCAAAAGUUGUAAAUUAUGAACUGUAGGUUGUUUGAAAUUUACUGCUCUUGAAGGUUGUUAACUCUAUAUAUGUAAAUAAGAUAUAAGUUGAUGAAAUCAGGACUGACUGCUCAUUAAAUGACUGCACAUUUCCGGACCACUCUCCUUUGCAAAAAUGCUGUUCACGUCUAUGUUUCUUGUACUUCAAAGAAACGUAAGUUCACAAAUACCUGGACUUACUGUUGAUCACAAGUAUGUCAUAUUCCUAAAGUCAGUUGUCGAUGAGAUAUUUGCGUCUGACAAAGUUUAAGGGUUUUCUUUACAGUCUUACUUGAGUAUUCCUUGAAUAAAAUCAAAUUAUACCAAAGCCAUUAAUUAGCAAACUACGUAAAACAAGAUCUGCAAAAAGUAUUUUUUUGGCGGUACAGAGCUUAAAAAUGGCUUUGAAAAAAGCAAACAUUUUAUAACAUAUUGGCUAUUAUAACAUUUAGAACAUAAAACGCAGAAGGAGUUCGUUUUCUCUCUUGGACUCCAGUGGUAAUUUUUCUUUAGGCUCGGGGCAAUGAUUGGUCAACUAUACCGGUCUUGUGCUUGCGUUUUUCUGAUUGGCCUAUUUCGAUCCACAACUGGGUAUAUAUUUUCCAUCAUGUUCUUUCGGACCCUUAUUCUGACUUUUUAUGCUCUGAGGAGCGUCAGACGGAAAAGCUUUUAGCCAAUAUGUUGUAAAAUGUUUGGUUUUUUCAAAGCCACAUUUCUAUUCUAGUCAUUGCAUUCACUGUUUCAUAGAACUAAAACUGUAGAAUAUAUCUCAUUUGCAUUGUAAAUUAAAGUGAUAAUUUUUUUUUUCUUGAUUCAGAUUGUUUCACCCAAGAAUUAUGCCCCCCUCUAUGGUCAAUGCAACGUCAACCGAAUUCCAGAUCCAAGUUCGCGUCAUAGAGGCACGAGAUUUAGCUGGUAUGACCCUCGAUCCUGUUGUUACGAUUACCCUCGGGGAAAUGAAGAAGAAUACGACAGUGAAACCUCAGACGAAUAAUCCAAUUUGGGAUGAGUAUUUCUGCAUGGAACUCAUCAUGACGGAGACCCAAGCACUGGAUCAAAUGCUCAAGUUCGAUGUAAGUAAACACAAGAAAAUAUCAUCAAUGCACUGAGAACCGUCUGUCGCUCAAUCCAAUCACCUUAUAAUUGAAAGGAUCAAAGAAAAUUCGUGGGCCAGGGCUUAUUCUCCCUCCAGCCUGCCCCCUCCAGCCUGCCCCCUCAGGCCUGCCCCCUCAGGCCUCCCCCCUCAGGCCUCCCUUUUCCGGCCUACAAUCGUUGAGCAUACAUUCAUUUAAACAUGUUUUACUUAACACAAGCUGUGGGCUAUAAUGCACCUUGAAAUGCUAUAUGAGAUGGCUUCUCAUUGUUGGUUGCAUUUAAAACCCGUUCCUUAUUAGAAGACUAGCUUGUGUAGACUGGAUAAUUGCAUAGCUUUUUUACAAAGAACCAGGCGGUACUGAGCUAAUCCACCGAGCUUCACACUUCUUUGCAACAGGCAACGGACAAAGUAGAAUCGUACUAUUCUCCAGACCAAUCCUUGUAUUAGACCCAUCAAUAGAAGACUGUUUAAAUAUAAUGCAUCUUCGAUGUCAUCUUUAAAGGUUUUAGUUUAUCAUCAAAUUUGUUUGUUUGCAUUUCCGUGCUUGAAAUAAACCGCAAUCUUUGUAAAGGUGAUAAAAUACCAUAAUCUGGAGACUAAGGCUCUCCGACAAUCUUGUGCAAGUUUCUAGUUUUUUUUGGCAAACGGUGCUUAGUAGCCACUAUGAAAGUGUAAUAUUCUAAUUUUGUAACAAAGGGUUUUUUGUUAUCUAGUUUCGUUUUUGCUGCUGCGAGAAGCUGUGAAGCCAGGAAUUUUGAUGCUUAGGGUAUUUUAUAUUCAACGUCUGUUGACUGUGUAUAAACGCUCUUUACCCGAAGACACCCCAGUUUAUACAGGGGUGCAUUUAAGUGCAUGACCGUGUAUUAAGGGUGAAAUAGUUUAUCCAUUAACAUUCUUUAUCUAUUAUACAAGAACUCGAUAACUUUCUUGAAGUAAGGUUAAAGUAAGAUUGGAGGAUUUAUUUGACAAUGUCUCAAUUAUGCACCCCCUCCCACCAGUGCUAUGUUGCUAUUUUUGCUACUAAAAUGCAUAUUAUCCGACUUUGAAUAGAAGGAAGGGAUAAGAAAUAGCAGUAUGAGAGAAUGACACCUACAGUACGAGAGGGUAAAAAGGGUAAAAAGUGCUCUUGUAGAGUUGAAUAAAACAGGCAUUUUUGAUAAACGUUUUGGCAGGGCCGUCGAGAGACGGGCCGGGCCCCAGGGCUGGGACUGUCAUGGGGCCCCACAGUCGAAGGCUGCAAAAACCUUUUUUGGAUUACGCCCUUAGCAAUGCAGUUAGAUGGACUGUAAAAGGCAUGAAUUUUGAAAUCAACGCCACUGAAACACUUGAAUUUGUAUUUUAAGGUCUUUAACAGAACAUGUAAUUAGUGACUAUAUAAAACAAAUCAUUAAAACAAAUCAGUUUAAAAAUCAGAGUUAAUUUAAUGUUUAAAAAACUGCUUUUCUUGCUUUCCUCAUGGCGAAAUCCUUAAUCUUUUCCCACAAUCGUUUCCAGCUGUCGUUCGCUCCCCAACCAUCAGGAGAAGCCAAUUUUGAUUUUGAACCAUUAUUAAUAGUGUGCUUGGCAAACAAUAGAGUGCAGCCUUUGUAGGACUGAAAACAAGCCAGCUUCUUCUUACUACCUCCCAAUUUUGCUGCUUCACAUUAAGGACCGUUGUUGGAAAUUUGUGGCCGUCGCAAUCUUUGGGAAACUCUGGAGGAUGAGGCAAAUGACCAGUUCUAACAACCUUUUCUAACUCCUUUAUCGUUGGAAAUCCGGUCAAUGUGCCGAUAUCAAAACUAGAUGAUCCACUAUGAACAGUAUCUUGAUUUAAUGACGGAUCAGUAGUGCUUUCUCUACUUUCUGGGGUGUCAUGGUCUACCGAAGCAGCCAAGCCGUUUGUGUCUUCUUCAGCGGUGCUUUGAACAGAGCUUUCACCAGGUUUAUUUAAAGUUGAAUCACCUUCCUUGUCUCUUUUGUAAGCACCUACCUCAAACAAUGUGCGAGAGGCUUUCUUGCUUCUUUUUCUCGCAUCUUUUUUCCUGCCUUUUCUGAGCACCAGACUUGUGCCUGUAAGAUGACAUCGCAGGGGUUGGUUGGAUCGUGAUCCCGCUUAGUGAUUUUGAUAAAGACUUUUAUAGCGUUUGGAUUUGUCUUGGUUCUUCGCAUGUGCUUUUUCUCUGGUGUACGCCGUGAAUGGAAGAUUUAGUUUUACGUUUAUAGGAAGUCCACACAAGGAAUAACUAAAACAUUUGACCUAAAAGUAGAUAUAUGUAAGUGCAAUCGAAUUUUUCGGCUUUCGGAGAAGUAUAUUGUGAUCGUAUCGUCAAUGUUUUAAUUAUAAACCUUAACAAAAAAAGGCCCUCAUCAUAGACCAGCUUGUUGACCCCUUGUUGAAAGAAUGAAUUUCGAAUAUCAAUCGGGUCAUGGGCCCGCCCUGCCAAUGCUGUUAAUUGAAAACUCAUAGCCAAAAAUACAUACCUUAUUUUCUACGGGCCCCUCAAGGCCCCGGGCCCCCUGGUAACUACCCUGGUUACCCCCCCCUCUCGACG